UUUAAAUUUAGAGUUUGAUCCUGGCUCAGGACGAACGCUGGCGGCGUGCUUAACACAUGCAAGUCGAGCGAUGAAGCUUCCUUCGGGGAGUGGAUUAGCGGCGGACGGGUGAGUAACACGUGGGUAACCUGCCUCAAAGUGGGGGAUAGCCUUCCGAAAGGAAGAUUAAUACCGCAUAAUAUAAGAGAAUCGCAUGAUUUUCUUAUCAAAGAUUUAUUGCUUUGAGAUGGACCCGCGGCGCAUUAGCUAGUUGGUAAGGUAACGGCUUACCAAGGCAACGAUGCGUAGCCGACCUGAGAGGGUGAUC
rnacentral:rRNA from 1 species